GCCAGCGGCAAUAGCACGUUGAAAACACCAGUUUCUAAUGGAUCACUGAUGUUAAGCAACUUUCCGCGUUGUUGGUAUCCGGAUGGGUGACCAUCUGGACAAACGCGUGCUGCUGGCU
rnacentral:rRNA from 1 species